UAGAGUUUGAUCCUGGCUCAGAGUGAACGCUGGCGGCGUGCUUAACACAUGCAAGUCGAACGAGUUUCGGCAGAGUAUCGCCGGGACGAGUGGCAGACGGGUGAGUAACACAUGGGUAACCUACCCUUGAGAGGAAAAUAACUCCGAGAAAUCGGAGCUAAUGUUCCAUAAGACCACAACCUUUCCUAAGAAAGGAAGGGGUCAAAGCUCCGCAAGGGGCGCUCGGGGAUGAGCCUGUGUCCUAUCAGCUAGUUGGUGAGGUAACGGCCCACCAAGGCGAAGACGGGUAGCCGGCCUGAAAGGGUGAUCGGCCACACUGGAACUGAGACACGGUCCAGACUCCUACGGGAGGCAGCAGUGGGGAAUUUUGGACAAUGGGGGCAACCCUGAUCCAGCAACGCCGCGUGAAGGAUGAAGGUCUUCGGAUUGUAAACUUCUUUUGCAGGGGACGAAUCGCGCCGUGAAUAACGGCGAAUGACGGUACCCUGCGAAUAAGCCACGGCUAACUACGUGCCAGCAGCCGCGGUAAUACGUAGGUGGCAAGCGUUACUCGGAAUUACUAGGCGUAAAGCGCAGGUAGGUGGUUGGGUAAGUCCGUAAUGAAAUCUCCCGGCUUAACUGGGAGGGGCUUGCGGAUACUGCCCGACUCGAGUGUGGGAGAGGUAACUGGAAUUCCUGGUGUAGCGGUGAAAUGCGUAGAUAUCAGGAGGAACACCUAUGGCGAAAGCAGGUUACUGGCCCAAUACUGACGCUGAGCUGCGAAAGCUAGGGGAGCAAACAGGAUUAGAUACCCUGGUAGUCCUAGCCAUAAACGAUGCAGACCAGACGUGGGGGGUAUCGACCCCCUCUGCGUCGACCCUAACGGAUUAAGUCUGCCGCCUGGGGAGUACGGCCGCAAGGUUGAAACUCAAAGGAAUUGACGGGGACCCGCACAAGCGGUGGAGUAUGUGGUUUAAUUCGACGCAACACGAAAAACCUUACCUGGGCUCGAACGACUAGAAGUAGAAUUGAUGAAAGUCGAGACGACCUGUAAAGUCAGGAAUUAGCCGAGGUGCUGCAUGGUUGUCGUCAGCUCGUGUCGUGAGAUGUUGGGUUAAGUCCCGCAACGAGCGCAACCCCCAUCUCCUGUUGCCAACCCGCAAGGGCGCACUCUGGAGAAACUGCCCACGAUGAGUGGGAGGAAGGUGGGGACGACGUCAAAUCACCAUGGCCCUUAUGUCCAGGGCUACACACGUACUACAAUGGCCGGAACAACGGGACGCAAAGCAGCAAUGCCGAGCCAAUCCUUAUAAAACCGGCCCCAGUUCAGAUUGUGGGCUGCAACCCGUCCACAUGAAGGUGGAAUCGCUAGUAAUCGCGAAUCAGAAGGUCGCGGUGAAUACGUUCCCGGGUCUUGUACACACCGCCCGUCACACCACGAAAGCCCGCUGCAACAGAAGUGCGCUCUCUAGAGCGCCCGAAGUUGUGGUUGGUGAUUGGGGGAAGUCGAACAAGGUACCAAGGCGAUCGCGCGCAUA
rnacentral:rRNA from 1 species